UUUAUUUUGAUUUCAUAUGACUUACUUGUUCGUUUUGCCACAUUUCUUUCUUUGAUUUUGGUUGGUUGGUUUGUUUGUUUUAGCCUCCCUGGUAUUGCCCAGUAGUCAAACCCUUUUGAUUAGUGUCUCCUGUAGGUUGGGGCCCAAUAGAUCCUCAGCACUGGCUCCAAAGGUAUCUCCUGCAGCGUGACUUUUGCUUUGCUCUGUUCCGGCCUUCGUCGCUGUUCUCACAACAGGACCCCGAGCACAACGCUGCUCAGAAUUCACCUGAGGAGCCGGAACGGCAACAUCCCACCUCUCCCCCCCGGCGUGAGCUGAUUUAACGCUUCAGACCGGGAUGCGAGUGCCGGCCCGCGAGCACCUGCUGCCCGUGCGGGCUCUGCUGCGAGCAGCGGGUGCACGCGGGGCUGACGCUUACGGAACGCGCCGUGGGGACCUUCCUCUGCCAUCGCAGGCUCGCUGAUUGCUGGCUGCUCUCCUCCUACCCGAGGCAGCUUGGCCUAGGGAGGUUUCUGUUUGCCUCGCAGCAAGCACCCUUCCUUGGGUUUAUGGGAAAUGGUUUUCCCGUACUGAAACUUAACAAAUGCGGUGCUUAUUGGGGAUGUCUCUGAUGACAGAGAAGGGGUGGGAAUUUGGGGCUGUUUGCGCAAUCCUAAACAGACUCGUUCUGAAAUCUUUUUUCCUCCUUUUGCUGAAAGAAGAUUUCACCUUGAUAAGUCUAACCCUUAACUAUGGCAGACCCACCACAGGGAUGAGUGUCAUCUUUAUAGAGGAAGAAUUACAGGAAGAAUUAUGUAGUACUGCAGCUUUUCAGUGUGGUAAAUUUAAGAGACAAAUGUGGUGACAGACUUAUCAGAAACACUGGCCGAAAUGAAGCUGUUGAUCCAAACAUCCUCAUCAUCCUUUAUCCUAAAGCCAAAGCAAAAAUGAGACGUCCCAGUGGGUGUGGGCCAUGCUCUUUGCUGUGGACAAUUCAGGCACAUCUGUGUUGGACCUCAAUCCAGAAAACUGCUGAAAUUGAAGGAAAUGGGGUUGAGUGUCCUGGCUUAGAGAAGCUCAGCGCAGAGGUGAGCCCCUCUCAAGAGAGGACCAUCUAUUGAAUGGACAGUGACAGCAGGAGUCUCCAUCCCUAGGACAGGCUGUCAGCCCGCUCCUUCAGAUGGGCGAGUCCUCACAGUUGCUCUUCCUGCCGUCCAGGUCUUAAUAUGGGAAGCUGCCCCAUGUUUCCCUUUGAGCUAGUAAGUUUCUCCUAAUUUUCUUUGAAUUUUUUGAAGCGUACACUUGACUCUUUCUAAUGGAUUUAAGAAUUGAUUUGCAUUGAUUUACUGCAUGCCGUUUCAACAUGCUGUGAUAGGCAAUUCAAAUGGGCCAAGUAAAAGCCACCGCUGUGCGUGCAAGAGUGAAAACAGGAAGAGGAAGGUGCAGAUAGUGCUGUCAGCACAGUUCAUGGGAAGGAACCUUUUUUCCCUUCACUCUAAGCAAUAGGUGUUUAGGUUUUGCAUUAUCUUCCCUUUAACUCUUCCUUGUUGCUACUUAGCUGUUGUCUUUUUAUGUGAAUGAAUAAGCAGCUCUGAAGAGGAAAUAUAGCUGUUUGAUGUUGUGUUGGUUUUUUUUUUUCCUGUGGACAAAUGCCUAUGUAGAGGAGCAGUGAAGCUCAGCUUAGAUGUUAUUUUAAGCAGCUCAUUUUUGCUGCCUGACCUAUAUGACUGAGUUAAGGUCACAGGAAAGAGCAUCUUUUUUCUCAGAUUAGAUGAUGUGCUUCAUGCUUUGGGCUGAUGCUAAUAAUUUUGAUUUCUGGGACUGGAGGUAGAGAUAAAAAGGCACCUUAAUUCUACUAGUCCUUGCUAAAUCUUCUCAGAGGAAUUCGGUAAGCUCCCCCUGUAAACCGCAUCAUCCUUUGGUUUCAUCUUCAAAAGUAAGGGCAUCAACUACCCCGUGAAGGACAGCAGCACAGGGUGUUUUCCAGUAGCAGAAUGAAUACGGCAUAACUGUCAGUCCUGCUCCUUUCUGAGUUUAUACAGUACCAUUAAGCUGACUAUCAUCUCUUUCGUGAUGUUGCUUCCAGUUAUUUUGUAUAUUGGGAGUAGCUGAUAUGCUGGAGGGCAAGGCUGCCGUCAUUCAGGGGAACAUGAACAAGCUGGAAAAAUUGGAUGACAGAGGCAUCAUGAAGUUCAAGAAAGUGAAUGCAAAGUCCUGUACCUGGGAAAUAAUAACCCCAUGCAACAAGCUGGGGACUGGCUGGCUAGAAAUCAGCCCAGCCUAAAAGGACCUGGAGGUCUUGAUAGAUGUCAAGCUGAACGUGAGUCCAGAAUGUGCCACUUCAACAAUGAGAGCCAACCGCACCAGACACGGGUGCAUCAAUACCAGUACAGCCGGCAGGUCGAGGGAAGUGGUUGUUCUCCUCUGUUCAGCACUUGUGAGGCCACAUCUGGCAUAAUGCAUCUGGUUCUGGCUCCCAGAAAGUAUGAGAAAGACAUUGAUAAACUGGAGCAAUAUUUAGUGGGCAGCCACUAACGUGGUCAGGAGUUCAUAGUGUUCAAGAAAAGGCAGAGGGAGCUGGAUUUGUUCAGCUUUAAGAAGAGAAGACUCAGGUGGAAUGUUACUGGUGCCUUGAACUACCUAAUGGGGGUUACAGAGACAACAGAGCUGCUGAGAGGUGCCCAGAGAGAAAUGACAAGGGGCACCAGGCGCAACUUAUACCAGGGGAAAUUCCUAGUGUGCCUAAGGAAAAAGUUUUUCCCCCAGAGAGAGAUGCAGAGCUGAAGAGGUGCCCAGAGAGGCUGGAGGCCCUGAAUAGUAUCAAAACUUGACUGUGCAAAGCCCUGAGCAAAUUUUGAAGGUAGCCCUGCUUUGAAUGGAAUGGUUGGACUAAAUGUUCUCCCUAUUAUUCUAUGCUUCACUUUUAUUUAGUGGCCCUGUAUUUAGUCUUUUCGCAGCUCAUCAGAUUUCUCUAUCAGUCUGUUAGACAUUCAAGUUAUAGCUGUUCAUAGCAUCUUACAAAGGAAAUGUGGGUGGCCUACAACUCUUGAAACAUAGGUGUAGACCUAAGCCUGUGAACGCCUAGGUAUGUCUUCGUGCUAUGCAUUGUAUGUCGAGUCCUGCCCUCGCUGAAUGCAAUAGUUCAGUAUUCAGGGGCUUCAGAGAGGUUGGGUCUAUCGCCCUUAAUAUUUAGUUUUUAUUGACGUCAUUGGGGCUUUCUUACAGAAUAAAAAGUUAACUCUUUACAGAAAUGAGAGCUUUCAGACGUGACCCUUUGCCUUACAGCAUUGUAUGGCAGCUCCUUAAAUAUACAUUUCAUAUGAGGUGUGUUAAUUUUGCCUUGUAAUCAUAAUUACCAUUUGAUUCCCAAAACUGAUUUGGGGAAAAAAAUACCCCUGUUACCAUUCGUGUUCCCUCACUAGUGGUUCCUGCUCAUUCACUUGUCUUCCAGUACCUGCAAUAGCAGACAGAACUGUAGUACAUGUCUACUGAGGAGAUCAGAAGUAGCUGAAAAGGAGCGGGGCUGUGGAACUGCUCUGGCGAGUUCCCAGCGAGCCACCGUGCCCCACCGUGUGCCCCUGCUCCCCUGAACAACCUUCUCAUCACCUCACCCAUGCCAAACAGCAGAUUAACUGCUUGUGUGGCCCCGAUCCAACCGAAAGGGCAAAGCCCUGUGGUGAGGGCCAGGUGUAGAUGGCUGGAGGAGAGGUGGGAACACCUUCAAACUACCACAGUAGGAGAAGCCGAUGAAUGCUUUCCCACAUGGGCAUCAGUAUGCAGGUUACUGUUUCACAGCUCUCGUCUGUAUCAGACAAGCUGUCAUUUACAAAGGCAAUUAAAAAGUGCACUGCAAGAGCCUUCUUUGCUGAGUGGAGGGAGGAGAGCGCAGGCUUUUUGAGAUGAAUAUGACCAGGAGCUGUCGGGAGGUGUUGGCAUUAGUCCCCUAAUGAUGUCGGCAGGAGAGCUGCAGCAGAGGUGCCUGGAGAACAUCAGGCUGCUUAUCUCAGCUGCAGCUCAUCCUUGCUGUGAUACGGGAAAGGUCACGCUCGUGACUACUGCACCAGGCUUCCUUCGGAUCCUGCCCAGCAGCUGCGAAUGAGUAUGGAAGAAAAAAAAGAAAUGAAAGCCGAAGCCAGUAAUGAAAAGAAGGGGAAUGCAGCCGCAACGUGUUAUUGCAUUGAGAACGUGUAUGUUUGCCAGAUACAUCCUGCUCCUUUUCCCCUAGCAGAUAACCCACAGGGAAAACAAGUCUUGCUGUUGCUGUCAGCUGAUGAGGUUAUUCCUUUGGUUCUCACUGACAGGUCUGAGGCUGGAGUUCCUGGAGCUCCUCCUCACCCUUGUUCCCCUGCCAGGGGUGUAACAGUGGCUGUAAGCUUUCCUCAUUCCUGCGCUUUCCCUUAAAAGUAGCAAGGCUGAUCACAAAGAGAAAAAAGAGAGAGGGGAGAAGAUGACAGCUUUGUCGCUUUUGCUUCCUUGGUAAUGGUCUGUGAAUUUUCUUGGAGGAAGUUAAGUGACUUGGGGAUCUUAAGGGCAAAGUUUCACGAGGUCCUUACACUGAUUGUGUGCUCUGCUACCCUUUUGCAGGGCAAGGACACUCUACUUUCAUACUAACACAGCAUUAUAAUGCUUUAUAUUAGCUCACUCCAUUGCUUGGUGUAUUCGGAAUAUGCCUUUUCUAAUAAAUAGGAAAAAAAAGAAUUCAUUUUUUCUCCUCUUAGAAUUUAGAUGAUACUUUCACCAAUGCCUCUUUCAACAAAGCCAUUUUUACGUAAUAGAAAAUACCAAGAUUUUAUUUCUCUUUUAUCUGAUAUAAUACAUUUUGACUUCAUAAUAACAUGGCACAGCAGUUGCAUUUUCAAUGCCAGCACAAAUGGUACCUAUAUCAUAUUAUCAAUGAUCAUACAAUGCCUUGACACAUCUCUGUAAAGCUGAUCUGCAAUCUCAAGUAUUUUGCUGUUCCCUCAUAAGGCCUGAGGAGGAUCACAACCUAAUGGAAAUGCAUUCAAGGGAAAAGUGUUCUGGACAUCCGUUUGUUUCUUUGAACUGCAUUAGAGCACAAACGUCGAGUUAAGCUGGGAGCGGGGUAGAGCCUCCAUACCCUCCAGUCUUUGAAAUGCUUGCAAGCAAAUUGCAGUACUGAUCUGUAUAUUUUAACUGGGUCACUGAGUGAGAGCCAUUUGAAUGCUUCAUGCUCUGCAUCUUCCAAGUAAUUGCAGUUUAAGGAUUCAUUUUAAUGUUAAUUUUCCCACUUUACACGUUUGAAGCUGAGCUUGGAGUUAUGCAAAAAAGAGGCAUAUCUCAAUCUAUUUUGAAUCUGAAACCAACUUAGUGUCAGUAUAAAACCAACCCUAUGUUAUAACUUUACACAUUAAAACUUUUUACAUUAUGCUUUUGAGGCCAUGAAAGACAAGGGACUCUGCCUUUUAAAAAUGACCCCGUUUAAAAAAAAAAAUUGGUAAGAUUUCUGAAGAAGUGCAAAACAAGAUGCUGCUUCACAUAUCGAUGUCUUUGAAAUACUCGUCGUUUCAAAGCAAGGAAAAGACUGGAUGUUUACACUGCUUUAUCUGACCCACAUGCCAUCCAGCUUCUCAGUUAAUUUAGUUCUUAUUCUCUGUAAUUUAUUUUUUGCUAUUUUUUUCCAAAAUGUGACUCUUAAGGUCAGUCCUAUUACCUCUGGACACUAGGAUUGACAGGACCUUCAGGAAAAUGAAAACCAAGAGAAGUUCUGUGAUGACUGAGUGAGGUUGAAAGCAGAGAGUUGGAGCUCCUGGGUUCUUCUCCUGACUGCACCCACAGCCUUCGCCAUGAUCAGUGGGCAAACUGCUUAAAACGUCUACGCUUCAGUUUGUCUAGGUGCCUCAAGGUCUUUGCUGCCCAAAGCGGUUAGAAAAUAUUUUUCUCUCCAUAGGAAAUUCUGACUUUGGUUGGUAAAAAAAACAAAAGAAAAUGAAUUUCUGUCCAGACACUCAACUUUGUAUCCAAAAGCUGCAGCAGGCUGAGAGCUCUGGCUGGGGACCAUCAUGGCGAUGUCUCCGAAAGCUGUGACUUCAGUGCCUUGUGCCACAGUUUCCAGUACAGGUUAAGAGUCUGGGCCUGAACAAACCUCCCCUCGUUCACCGGUGUCCUGCUCCUUGCUUAGCUAGCGUGGAGUGCAGCUAGUGUGGUGCGUCCUGGCAGAUGUAAUCCAGCAGGAACCCUCAGCCAUCUGCGGCUUCAAAACUGCAGCUCCCACGAAGAAAUUUGGAAGAAUUCCCAAAUGCAUGGAUUUUUUUGCUUCUGACCAGAUAUGUUAGCAAAAUGAAUAAUCAAAAAUAUUGCUUAGUCAAAGUAGUGCCUGUCCAUCACAACUGACAUUACUGGCCCUUUAGAGAGACAGCUGCGUUUGCUCCGAGAUGGUUCUAGCCUGCAGCUAGCUAGCUGGUACUCCAGCUGCCAGCUUAGCUGGUAAGGCUCUUCCAAGCCUUGUCCCUUCCCCAACCUAAAAGGAGCGUGAGCAUCCAGCUCAGGGCUUCCUCCCCACGUUCUGUCCACAUACAAGAGAAACUGCAGCUAAGAGGAACUUUGGCAAACCUAACCUCUUGACUUCUUCCUCACAGCAACCAGCACGAGAGUUUCAGGGGCUCCGUGUCCCCUCACUACAAGACUCGGAGGCCUCCAGGGCUUGACAGCCCUGAGGGCAAUGCAGUUCCAGGUUGCGCUUUGUUGUAGGGAGUCAGGCAAAGCUCUGAGGCAGUCUUUUGCUCGGGCGGAGAUGGUUAUUCUGCUUUGCGGUAACCCUUGCAGUGUGUUAAACCCUGUGAAAGUCCAUAAGGGAGUACAGACACUGUCCCAAAAGAAGAAAGAGGAACAAAUGUCAUCAACGAAGGGGAUUUGUUAUGUAAAUAAGUGCUUUUGGCAGCUGGCCACUGGGAAAGGGUAGCCUCAGAUGCACUUGAUGGGAUGUGGGUGGAAGCGGGUCUUGAGGCCAUGGGACAGCUUUAAUGAGCAGAACUAUCGAGAGUGAGUUGAGGUGGUCACUGAUGGCAGGGACAGUGGCUGGAGGCACGAGUGGGGCUAUUGAGAUGGACAGAACGAGGGCCUGAAAAUAAGGAUAAGGAAAAAGCAGCUGAAUUAGAUUAGGGAUUCAAAGCAAAUGGCAUUCUUCAAAUGACCAGGCAGGAAAGGCAGCUUCAGAAGCAAGACAAAAUGAUAGCUGGACAGUAAAGAAGGCUAAUAAGCGAAUGAUACAGAUUUUAUUGCAGAAAUAUGCAGCAAAAGAAUUUAAUUACAGUCAUGAUUUAUUAAAAUGAGCUGGGAAGCGUCCCAGUUCAGAGUAGCUUUUUAUAGAGGAGGCAGCCCACAUAUUGCCUAUCCAAUUAGCAAGAGAGAUUUGUGGACAUAGGAUGUGGAAACUGGCAGCCACAGGGUGAAUGGAAGUGUGUCUGUAAAUCACAUUUUGACAAAUGAGGGGGAAGACUGUCUUGGCUCAUCACAACCACUCCCCUGUCUGUCUCUUUUUUCCCAAUCCAGAACUGGAGCGUUUGUCCCCUCAAACAGCUGUCCUGCCUUUGCUUCUUUUGAUGCUCUGAAGUUCAUCAAUAUUCAUCAGGGCUGGAGAGAGAGAGAGAGAGAGAGAGAGAGAGAGAAUAAUUUUCAGCAGAGGCAGCUGGGUGACUCACUGUCAACACCAAUACUGGCAACAAGGCCAGAUCUUUUGCCUUUUGGCAUCUCCCACCAUCCUACAGUAGGAAAUCUACCCUGCCACCACAGUGCUGCCGGCUGGGCUGGGGAGGUCUGCUGAGGACCGCAAGGAUUCAGACACGAUGCCCACACUGAUCCUAGCAACUCCAAAUGAGAGCACAGGAAAAUCUAAGCAAGCUUGCAAGGUGAUGGGCAGAAGCUUUAAAGGGUGUGCUGUUGUGUCUAGCUCAUUGACAAGGGAAAGCCUCCACAAGUCUUUUGAGAACUUUUCAACCAGCUAGUUGGAUUGUCUUUUUAAAUUAUUAUUUAGUUUUUAACUAGACAUUAAGUAUUUUAACCUGUGCACUGCUUUUCCAAAGUACUGGUCUGAGCAGACCAAUUCAUGUUUUCCUUGUCCUAUGAAGUGGCUUCCUAGUUAGUAUAAAGCAUCUGCACUUGUUUUAGGAUUUGCUAAUGUUGUUUAUGUGUUAUGUGCAUGCGGGGGAACACACUUAGCAUAACUGUGUUUUGGGAUGCAAGUCUCAAAGAAGCUUAAAUCCUGUUUCAAAAGUAUCACUGUCACUUGGAGCAAAGGCAGAUGUUAGGGAUCUGCAAACAUUUGCCACCCUGGGAAGAGAAGCCGUGGGAAGUGUUGGGCAGAGACACCUCGCAAGGCUCUGCAAGACAACUCUGUCUCAGCAGCAGGGCUGACAGCAGAGACCAAACCAGCUCUGAAGCUGUGGUCGUACCCACGUGCUGUGUGCCUCCGCUGAGUAGCCGUGGUGAGAUGGGAUGGUGAGUUCGGGCGCAGAAUGAUUCUGCUGAUUUUUGUAGAGCUGAUACCUACCUAGGCUGUGCCAGCCUCCUUGGAGGUGUCGCACCAUCUCUGUGCCUGCGACAGCACAGGUGACUUGUGCGUUUCUGAAAAAGAUACUUGUGGUAUUGCAUUUAGCAGUGUCAGCCCAUGUCCACAAAUCUCUUGUUUCUCAUGAUGGUAAUGCUGGCAGGAAGGAACGGCGGCAAUGGCUGUUCCCUGCCAGCCCUUUCGUUGGCGUGCCUUGGGCUGAUACUUGCAGCGGUUGCCUUCAGAUUUGGGACCUGUGACCCUGCCUAGGAUCUGGGGCUGACUGUGUGGGUGGUGGCAGGUGCUGCACACGGGUGUCUACUUAUUAGUUCCUGGGGGAUGACAAAUAACUUGGCUUUUGCCAGGUUUGGCUGUGGCAGAUCAGAAGUGAUUCCAGACCUACCAUGUCUUUUCCUUCAUUAGAUAGCCACCAGAGAAGCAAAUAUUGCACCCCACUGAGGACAAUAAAAUCCCACAGGUGAGCUGAGAGCAAGAUGGAUGCUUUUCAUUAUUUCUGUAGUCCAAGUAAAUUUUUUUUCAGGGUGCCCUUCACAUCAACCAAAUGAAGACAUUUCUUCUAUACAGUCACUGGCGCUCCAGAAAUUCUGAUUUGCUUUCUGGAGUUUCCACUGAAUUUGUGGUGGCCCUCAGGCUGUGACUCAGUGAUCUCAGGUAGAUGCUGUGGCUACCUCAGAGUCUUAAACUGUACAUUACCUAAAUACUUUCCUUACUGGACUGAAACUGUUCACAGAACAACAAUUUUUUUCUCCACUUGCAAAUCUUCAUUUAAUAGAGAUUUCCAUAAACCUGCAUUCAUAAAUGUGGAGAACGAAAUGAAACCGCAAAAGAUUAGGUACAUCCUUUUUGCAACUGUCUGGUAUUUAGGAUUCUCAUGUUGCGAAGGACAUGCAAAGCUUCUGCUUUUUUCUGUCAGAUACAUUUGCCACCAAUCCAGACUUGCUAUCGGUUUGGCACAUAAAUGUGAAACUGACCCAGCAUCACUGAGAUUUGCCUGAUUUCAUGUCUGAGUUGGACUUGCUUUUGGCAAACGGGUGCUUGCAGCUGAUCCAAAUGCAUUCAGAAGCCCAGCAGAUGCUUCUCUGAGCCUCUUCUAUGUUUAAAAAAGGAAAUGAAGCAUGAAACCAGGUGCUUUCUGUGCUGUCCUGAAUUAUGGAUUUUAUUCUUCUUGUUAAAACACAGUUUACACAUCUUCUGGUUUAUCAUUUUUGAAGAUGAUAUGGUGUAAACUACCAGGUUCUUCCUAAUAAAUGGUGGUGGGACUCCGGGAACUGCUCUCUUCUCUAAGGCUCUGUUCCAGUUCAGUUGAAUUCAACAGCAACCCCCUCAGCAGCGGGGAGCGAGUCUGUGCAUUACAAGGACCCAACACUGCAAAUAAAACUAGAAUUAGUCAUGGACUUUGCUGAAAUUCUCCACCCUGUAUUAUGCAGGAGUUCAGACAAGAUCUUAACAGUCCCUUCCAGCCAAAAUCUCAGUAAAAAAGGGACCGACAUUUUUGAGAUUAAGCAUCAGAGGACUUUUAUACAAAGAGUUUUCUGAGGAGGCAAGAAACACUUUGGUUUAGUUUUCUGGUCUGAAAAUAUCAACAAUUUGUUUUAUUUUGAAAAAAAAAACCAUAAGAAUGGUCAAGCCAUUGCCACCAUGCCUGUAGGUUUGCAGAAAUAAAGCAAAAAUGGGAUGCUGUAUCUUAGAUAUUCCAUAGGGUGCUUAGACAUAAUAAUGUACUAAUAGGUUUUGCGUUUAUCAAGAGUGAUCACCUUAAUACUGAGCUGAAAUGCUCAGUGGAGAAAAAACUAUUACUGUCAGGACUGACCUGAAUCUGGCAGGAUUCUUUGUUGUUUGUGGCUUAUAUUCUUGAAAUUGUUUUUCAGCUUCUAAAACUAUGGCUCCUCUGUAAGCUGAGUUCAGAAAAUGAAGGUCAAUAAUGGGAGAAGAAAAAACUGCUGUGACCACAUCUAAAGGCAAAAGGUUUAAACCUCUGGCUCACAGUAACUUGCAGGAAAUCCACCGUCAUUUUGUGUGCAGUGAUUAAAGAAAUCCAAAGGUUACAAGUUCCUACUGGCUGAGAAGAAAGCUGGAGUGGAAUCAGGCAGGAGAAGUCAGCUGAAACACAUGAAGGGAGUGUGAGUGGGCAUAAGAAAGCAAGAGAGACUCACCUCCCUGGAGAGAGACUCUGAAAGGAGGGAGUCCUGUGGUCCCCAUCAGCAGGAGGAGCUGAAAAUCCUGAGCUCAUACAUAUGCACUCGCCUUGGGGAAAACUGAGAAAAAUCACACAUAUGUCUCCCCAGCACAUUUCAGGCAAGCCAAGAGUUUGCAUUCACGUGGAUAAAAGGUGUAUACGUAUUGUUAGCACAUAUGGCUCACAGUUCUAACAUUGCCAGGUUUGUAGCCCCCAAACUAAUUUUGCAACACUGCAGGAACAAUGUAACAAAGCUCGAUGUGAGCUAAUAUCAGAGAGGAAGGUGAUUUUACCCAAAACAAAACAGGAUUUGCACACGCUCUCACACCCUCAUGUGCUCUUCAUCCUAUUCCAUCCCUGGCUUAGCAUUUAUUUUUCACUCCUUAUCUAUCUGGGUGAUGGCUUUGAUGGCUCUAAGCCUGUUCUUUUCUUCCUUGCAUCACUUCUCUAGGGCUUUGGUUUGUAGUCUGUCCUCUGUGUGUAGUCUGUCUUCGGUUUAGGGAUGUCCUGGUAAACUGCACAUAGAUGUGCUGGCAGCUUGAUGACCUAGGUGCCACCUGCACCUACCAUUCUCACAGCACUUCUUCUAUUGGUCCUUCUGGUGCUUCCACACCUAGAUAAUCACUUUGAUUCAUAAUGGGCUUAAUAUUUUUGUUAAAAAUUCCUUGAGUAUUGCGACAUAUUUUACAUGUCCACAACGGACUUACAGGAGUACAGAUGAGUGCUGAAGAGCAAGGAUCACUGGGGAGGGUCCAAUUUAUCCUACCACCAGUUUGGACACAUUGUCUAUGGAAACACUGGAGAGGGAAAACUGAGCACUGAAAAGCUGCUCCAAUCAUUCCCAGCUGCCUCCUCCUCCAUCCUGCUUACUCCUGACACUGGCCUUCUCAAUUGGGCUUUCAAAUUGUUUCCUUUGAGAAGCUGUACUGGGUUUUAUUGCUUUUAUUUUUAACUGAUCUAUUAGCUGUCUGCGAAUUUCUCAAACGCUUUAGGAAAACAGCAACCAGCGCAUGGUGAUGUUUGCAGGUGAAAAGCAGACCUGCAUGAUAGCUUUCCAGCUAGCUUAGCACUGGUGUUGGCUUAGGUGGUUGUAACUGCACUUGAAAACUUAUUUUUGCUUUAACACAGCUAGAGCUCCUCAGUACAACUUGGUGUAAGAGGACUAGUGAGAACAAGUAGUGUCCAGAGUGGCUGAUUGGUGCGUUGUUUUAUCUGGAGUGUU